rnacentral:lncRNA from 1 species
CCAAAAGGAAAGAAUUCCACCUCAUCCCAUUUUAAAAACAUAUUUCAAUAAGCGCAAAUGCUUUCUUUUUCUUUUUUUUUUUUGAAGAUGUGAAAUCUUGUACUGGUCGUUGGUUGUUUCUCUUUCAGUACAAUCAGAAAAUAGUGGAAUACUGAAUUAUGGGAAGCUUCCAUUAUCUCAGGUGUCAACAUUCCAUAGGUUGGUGUGGGGGCAGUUUUUAUGUUCUAUAAUACAAAGCAUACUAAAUGGAAUAAAUGGAAAUUUAGAGUCACAGUUAAACAUUCGACUUAUGUCUUCUCUUUUAAGCAUUUUAAACUACCUCUAUUAUAUUGAUUUUUAGAAGAAUUGUUUUCUAAAGAAAACUGCUUCCUGAUGUUGGCGCAGGUGGGCUCUCUGUGAUAUCUGCGGCCAUGUGCUGUGUUUAGUCAUUCCUCCCAAUGCCAGUGAUCCCUUAAAUCUGGGUGUUGUCCAUCAUCAUCCCUGCCCGUCUCCGUGCAUCCACAACUGCCACAUCCUGAGAGCUCAGUCCAUCAUAAAUGCAAUUAUAGCCUUUUACCUCCUCCUCACCAGAUACUCUCUACAGGGCAAGUUCAUCAAACUGUGUGCUUAGAAGCUCUGGAGCAGAACUCUCACCCACCAGAAGAUUGCCUCAAGAGAUAAAAGAUGAUUUACAACCCAAAGUAUGCCCACUAGAGGUUUUGGCCAUUUUUACAAUGUAUUCCUGCCCAUGAAGAUGCCAACUUGACUGCCCAAUACAUAAAGCACCAAAGCAAGUAUGCGGACCCCCCCACACCUCCUCACUUCUGCUCCUGUGUAGACCCCCAUCUUUAAAAGCACUUACUUUCUCCUGCAAAAGCAAAUCAGACCCUUACAGCAGGAAGGCUUUUCUUCUUCUCCUAAACUAGCUUUGGAAUAAAAAGUUAUUUUCUUUA